GAUGAACGCUGGCGGCGUGCCUAAUACAUGCAAGUCGAACGCAUUGAGAGAAGUGCUUGCACUUUUCAACUUGAGUGGCGGACGGGUGAGUAACACGUGGGCAACCUACCUGAUAGCGGGGGAUAACGAGUGGAAACAUUCGCUAAUACCGCAUAACAAUAGAGAAGGCAUCUUCUUUAUUUAAAAGGCGCUUUCAAGCGUCACUAUCAGAUGGGCCCGCGGUGCAUUAGUUAGUUGGUGGGGUGAAGGCCUACCAAGACGAUGAUGCAUAGCCGAGUUGAGGGACUGAUCGGCCACAUUGGGACGGAGACACGGCCCAAACUCCUACGGGAGGCUGCAGUAGGGAAUCUUCCACAAUGGACGAAAGUCUGAUGGAGCAACGCCGCGUGUGUGAUGAAGGCUUUCGGGUCGUAAAGCACUGUUGUAUGGGAAGAAAUGCUAGGCUAGGAAAUGAGCUUAGUUUGACGGUACCAUACCAGAAAGGGACGGCUAAAUACGUGCCAGCCGCCGCAGUAA
rnacentral:rRNA from 1 species